rnacentral:tRNA from 2 species
GAGCCAUUAGCUCAGCAGGUAGAGCAUCUGACUUUUAAUCAGAGGGUCGAAGGUUCGAGUCCUUCAUGGCUCACCA